rnacentral:rRNA from 1 species
CGCGUAGGUGGUUUGUUAAGUUGGAUGUGAAAGCCCCGGGCUCAACCUGGGAACUGCAUCCAAAACUGGCAAGCUAGAGUACGGUAGAGGGUGGUGGAAUUUCCUGUGUAGCGGUGAAAUGCGUAGAUAUAGGAAGGAACACCAGUGGCGAAGGCGACCACCUGGACUGAUACUGACACUGAGGUGCGAAAGCGUGGGGAGGCAAAAUA